rnacentral:rRNA from 1 species
AUUGAACGCUGGCGGCAGGCCUAACACAUGCAAGUCGAACGGUAACAGGAAGAAGCUUGCUUCUUUGCUGACGAGUGGCGGACGGGUGAGUAAUGUCUGGGAAACUGCCUGAUGGAGGGGGAUAACUACUGGAAACGGUAGCUAAUACCGCAUAACGUCGCAAGACCAAAGAGGGGGACCUUCGGGCCUCUUGCCAUCGGAUGUGCCCAGAUGGGAUUAGCUAGUAGGUGGGGUAACGGCUCACCUAGGCGACGAUCCCUAGCUGGUCUGAGAGGAUGACCAGCCACACUGGAACUGAGACACGGUCCAGACUCCUACGGGAGGCAGCAGUGGGGAAUAUUGCACAAAGGGCGCAAGCCUGAUGCAGCCAUGCCGCGUGUAUGAAGAAGGACUUCGGGUUGUAAAGUACUUUCAGCGGGGAGGAAGGAAGUAAAGUUAAUACCUUUGCCCAUUGACGUUACCCGCAGAAGAAGCACCGGCUAACUCCGUG